CCUACGGGAGGCAGCAGUGGGGAAUAUUGCGCAAUGCUCGUAAGAGUGACGCAGCGACGCCGCGUGAAUGACGAAGGCCUUCGGGUUGUAAAGUUCUUUCGACAGGGAAGAAAAUGCCUAUAAGUAACUGAGUAUGUAUUGACGGUACCUGUAUAAGCAGCCCCGGCUAACUCCGUGCCAGCAGCCGCGGUAAUACGGAGGGGGCGAGCGUUGUGCGGGGUGACUGGGCGUAAAGAGCACGUAGGCGGGGUUGUAAGUCAUUAGUCAAAGACUAGAGCUUAACUUUAGUAAGGCAGGUGAUACUAUAAUACUAGAGUAUCAGAGAGGAAUGCAGAAUUCCUGGUGUAGCGGUGAAAUGCGUAGAUAUCAGGAGGAAUAC
rnacentral:rRNA from 1 species